rnacentral:rRNA from 1 species
GACGAACGCUGGCGGCGUGCUUAACACAUGCAAGUCGAACGGAAAGGCCCUGCCUUUGUGGGGUGCUCGAGGGGCGAACGGGUGAGUAACACGUGAGUAACCUGCACUUUACUGUGGGAUAACUUAAGGAAACUGGGGCUAAUACCGGAUAGGAGCUCCUGCUGCAUGGUGGGGGUUGGAAAGUUUCGGUGGUUGGGGAUGGACUCGCGGCUUAUCAGCUUGUUGGUGGGGUAGUGGCUUACCAAGGCUUUGACGGGUAGCCGGCCUGGGAGGGUAACCGGCCCAAUUGGGCCUGGACUACGGCCCAGCCCCGUACGGGAGGGAGAGGAGGGGAAUGUUGAACAAGGGGCGGAGCCCUAACGCAGUACAGCAGUGUCGGGGAUGCGGGCCUUCGGUUUGUAAACCGCUUCCGCCUGUGCCGAGGUGUUAGUGACGGUAACGGGAGAAGAAGCACCGGCUAACUACGUG